CUUCCUGUUGCCCUAACACAGACCUCCUUUUCUUCUCUGUUAAACGGCUGCUAAACCCUAAACCGCGCGCAUGAGUAUGAAGCCCAUACCCCUGAAUCCCUUGCUCGUGAAUAUUGAGAAGCCUUUGCUUUCCCCGUUGCCCUGCCCUCGCUCCACACUUGAUUCGAUCGGUUGCUUCUCCACCAUCUCCGGUUAAAUUAAAGGUCUAUUUGUUUUGUUCUUGCUUGCAGAGCCACUCCAUGUUAGAUUCUUCUUGCUUAAUAGAGCCAGACAUGCAUUCUGAUUUCAGAUAUCUUUGAUUAGCUUUGACUCUUUGCUUCUACCACUUUCCUUUCUUAACUUGUUAUCUUCUUCUACUUGUUUUACUCAAUUUGUCGUGCAAAACACUUUGCUUUCCCCUAUAUUUAUUCCGAGAAAGAGAAGAAGAACAAUUCAGGGUCUGGUGCUUGGCUUUAAAGGAGGGACAAAGCUGAAACGUGGCUAGCAAAGGAAAAAAGGUGUUGUUAUUGGUAUCUGAAUAAGUUAUUGGAACCAACAAAGAAAGAAGAGAUGGAAGCAGAAAUCUAGAAUGAAAAACACAAUUUUAAUGUGGCUCGGGAGGUGGUGUCAGUUUUGAAUCCUGAAAGACUUGACCGCAAUGGCAAAAGCUGGAAAACUUGACCCAGUCAUAGGAAGAGAUGAUGAAAUACGCAGGUGCAUCCAAAUUCUUUCUAGG